rnacentral:rRNA from 1 species
GAUGAACGCUGGCGGCGUGCCUAAUACAUGCAAGUCGAGCGAGAAGCUUGGAAAUGACGCUUCGGUUGAUUUUCCAAGCGGACAGCGGCGGACGGGUGAGUAACGCGUAGGCAACCUGCCCCUGACAGAGGGAUAGCCAUUGGAAACGAUGAUUAAAACCUCAUGACACCGUAGUAGCACAUGCUACAUCGGUCAAAGAUUUAUCGGUCAGGGAUGGGCCUGCGUCUGAUUAACUGGUUGGUGAGGUAACGGCUCACCAAGGUGACGAUCAGUAGCCGACCUGAGAGGGUGAUCGGCCACAUUGGAACUGAGACACGGUCCAAACUUCUACGGAAGGCAGCAGUAGGGAAUCUUGCACAAUGGGCGAAAAGCCCUGAUGCAGCAAA